rnacentral:rRNA from 1 species
CACGUAGGCACCAAGCGUUGUCCGGAUUUAUUGGGCGUAAAGAGCUUGUAGGCGGUUUGUCGCGUCUGCUGUGAAAUUUCGGGGCUCAACCCCGAACUUGCAGUGGGUACGGGCAGACUAGAGUGUGGUAGGGGAGACUGGAAUUCCUGGUGUAGCGGUGAAAUGCGCAGAUAUCAGGAGGAACACCGAUGGCGAAGGCAGGUCUCUGGGCCAUAACUGACGCUGAGAAGCGAAAGCAUGGGGAGCGAACAGG